rnacentral:rRNA from 1 species
UACGAAGGGGGCUAGCGUUGUUCGGAUACAUGGGCGUAAAGCGCACGUAGGCGGAUCUUUAAGUCAGGGGUGAAAUCCCGAGGCUCAACCUCGGAACUGCCUUUGAUACUGGGGAUCUCGAGUCCGGGAGAGGUGAGUGGAAUUGCGAGUGUAGAGGUGAAAUUCGUAGAUAUUCGCAAGAACACCAGUGGCGAAGGCGGCUCACUGGCCCGGUACUGACGCUGAGGUGCGAAAGCGUGGGGAGCAAACAGG